rnacentral:rRNA from 1 species
UCCGUAGGUGGAUCAAUCAGUCAGAGGUGAAAUCCUGCAGCUUAACUGUAGAACUGCCUUUGAUACUGUUGAUCUUGAGUCAUUAUGAAGUGGUUAGAAUGUGUAGUGUAGCGGUGAAAUGCAUAGAUAUUACACAGAAUACCGAUUGCGAAGGCAGAUCACUAAUAAUGUACUGACACUGAGGGACGAAAGCGUGGGGAGCGAACAGGAUUAGAUACCUGGUAGUCC